GGAACGGGCAGGGCCGAGAAGGGAGCGGGGAGCGGGCCGGGACUGCACCGCCUCCCUCCGGGCGGGCCUGGUGCUAGAGGGCGGGCCUGGAGCUCUGUGGUGUGUCUGGGUGCCUCGGCUCGCCCUCAGGUCGUGAAGAGCAAGAAAAUAACGCCAGUGUGAUCUCCCAGUGUUGUGACCCGUGGGGGUAUGAUGAGGGAGCUCUCGCCCUGAAAGACCUGACGAGCCUGUCAGCUGGCUCCUGGUGUCCCUGUGUCCUCGGCAGACCUCAUGGCAGGGUGGUGAAGAAGUUAUGCAGCUUGUAGGAGAUGAGAGCAUUCGCUGAAGAAGUGCAGAUGAUUUACGAAAUGCUGGUCAGUGAAAAUCAACCAGUCACCUUUAACAUUACAAAAUGCAUCUUCAGGACAAGGGACACAGGGAG